rnacentral:rRNA from 1 species
AUCGUCACCAUAUUAUAUCACUCUAUGGGACUGCGGCCGCGCUCUCCUGGCGAAGCACCUGUCUGAGGGUCGCUA